GGAAGUUCAACGGAAAACAUUUAUCAGGAACUUCUAUCCAGAAAGGAAGAUAUGUUGUUUUGAGGAAAAGUGCAAAUAUUACUCAGCACACCAAGGGCAAAGGAAAUAGGAAGUGGGUUAGAGAGUUUUCUGAAAUAAUCUGUCACUGAAAUGUGAGAAAACACACUUCUGUAUUUGCACAUUUUUGUUUUAAAUUGUGAUACAACUCAAGAAGAUGACCUUUUUGCAGUAUUGUGCCACUAAGCUUCUUAAAGGUGGAUCAUGGUUUCAUAAUGAGAAAUGGAAACACACGUUCUGAGUGACUAUUUUGAAGAGAUCCAUGUCUGAAGGUGAAAAAGCAAAUGUCUCCGAAAUAUUUUGGCAGGAAUACACAUCAGGCUAACUGGACAAUAAGACACAGGAUUUUUCUUACUGCAAUUUUUAAAAACUGGGACCUUUACAUUUUCAUUCUAAUACUUUGGAUAAAUGCCUUCUAAAAUAAUUAUAGUAAACAUUUUGGUGAAAAGUGGGUACCACCAAUCAAUGUAUUCUUUGAAGAUUUCUGGGGGGAGAAAAUCAAGGUUGGGGGCCUUCCCAUUUCUCAUUCAGGAUAUACAUGAUCUUACUUGAGAUUCAGAGGUGAGAUAAUAAUCUAUUUGCAGCUUUUAUCCUUCCAACCAUUUUUAUAAAAUGAAAUAUAUCCAGGGAUGGGCACCAUCUUCCCAUACCAUGUGUCUUGUAAAAUUUCAAUAUUAAAAUUAUUAAUAAAA